rnacentral:rRNA from 1 species
UGGGGAAUAUUGCACAAUGGGGGAAACCCUGAUGCAGCGACGCCGCGUGAGCGAAGAAGUAUUUCGGUAUGUAAAGCUCUAUCAGCAGGGAAGAAGAAUGACGGUACCUGACUAAGAAGCACCGGCUAAAUACGUGCCAGCAGCCGCGGUAAUACGUAUGGUGCAAGCGUUAUCCGGAUUUACUGGGUGUAAAGGGAGCGCAGGCGGUGCGGCAAGUCUGAUGUGAAAGCCCGGGGCUCAACCCCGGUACUGCAUUGGAAACUGAGAGGCUGGAGUAUCGGAGAGGAAAGUGGAAUUCCUAGUGUAGCGGUGAAAUGCGUAGAGAUUAGGAAGAACACCGGUGGCGAAGGCGACUUACUGGACUGCUACUGACACUGAGGCGCGAAAGCGUGGGGAGCAAACAGGAUUAGAUACCCUGGUAGU